rnacentral:rRNA from 1 species
UACGGGGGGGGCAAGCGUUGUCCGGAAUUACUGGGCGUAAAGGGCUCGUAGGCGGCCAACUAAGUCGGACGUGAAAUCCCCAGGCUCAACCUGGGAACUGCGUCUGAUACUGGAUGGCUUGAAUCCGGGAGAGGGAUGCAGAAUUCCAGGUGUAGCGGUGAAAUGCGUAGAUAUCUGGAGGAAUACCGGUGGCGAAGGCGGCAUCCUGGACCGGCAUUGACGCUGAGGAGCGAAAGCCAGGGGAGCAAACGGG